rnacentral:rRNA from 1 species
GUUUGGGAAUGCAGCUCAAAAUGGGUGGUAAAUUUCAUCUAAAGCUAAAUACCGGCCAGAGACCGAUAGCGCACAAGUAGAGUGAUCGAAAGAUGAAAAGCACUUUGGAAAGAGAGUCAAAAAGUACGUGAAAUUGUUGAAAGGGAAGCGCUUGCAACCAGACCUGCCCGCGGGUGAUCAGCCGCCAUUCAUGGCGGUGCACUCGCCCGCGAUCAGGCCAGCAUCGGUUCGGGCGGCCGGAUAAAGACCCCGGGAAUGUGACUUCCUCCGGGGAGUGUUAUAGCCUGGGGUGCAAUGCGGCCAGCCGGGACCGAGGACCGCGCUUCGGCUAGGAUGCUGGCGUAAUGGUUGUAAGCGGCCCGUCUUGAAACACGGACCAAGGAGUCUAACAUCUAUGCGAGUGUUUGGGUGUCAAACCCAUGCGCGGAAUGAAAGUGAACGGAGGUGGGAACCCGUCAGGGCGCACCAUCGACCGAUCCUGAUGUCUUCGGAUGGAUUUGAGUAGGAGCAUAGCUGUUGGGACCCGAAAGAUGGUGAACUAUGCCUGAAUAGGGUGAAGCCAGAGGAAACUCUGGUGGAGGCUCGCAGCGGUUCUGACGUGCAAAUCGAUCGUCAAAUUUGGGUAUAGG